UUAAAUUGAAGAGUUUGAUCAUGGCUCAGAUUGAACGCUGGCGGCAGGCCUAACACAUGCAAGUCGAACGGUAACAGGAAUCAGCUUGCUGAUUCGCUGACGAGUGGCGGACGGGUGAGUAAUGUCUGGGAAACUGCCUGAUGGA
rnacentral:rRNA from 1 species